UGGGGAAUUUUGGACAAUGGGCGCAAGCCUGAUCCAGCAAUGCCGCGUGCAGGAUGAAGGCCUUCGGGUUGUAAACUGCUUUUGUACGGAACGAAACGGCUCUGGUUAAUACCUGGGGCUAAUGACGGUACCGUAAGAAUAAGCACCGGCUAACUACGUGCCAGCAGCCGCGGUAAUACGUAGGGUGCGAGCGUUAAUCGGAAUUACUGGGCGUAAAGCGUGCGCAGGCGGUGAUGUAAGACAGAUGGGAAAUCCCCGGGCUCAACCUGGGACCUGCAUUUGUGACUGCCUCGCUGGAGUGCGGCAGAGGGGGAUGGAAUUCCGCGUGUAGCAGUGAAAUGCGUAGAUAUGCGGAGGAACACCGAUGGCGAAGGCGAUCCCCUGGGCCUGCACUGACGCUCAGGCACGAAAGCGUGGGGAGCAAACA
rnacentral:rRNA from 1 species